rnacentral:rRNA from 1 species
GAUGAACGCUGGCGGCGUGCCUAACACAUGCAAGUCGAACGAAAAGGCCCGGCUUUUGCGGGUUUCUCGAUUGCGGAAGGGGUGUGAAAAACGCGUGUAACCCCCCCUUGUCUUUGGGGUAUCUCCUGGAAAAAGGGGCUAUAACCGGGGAGAAUCUCUUGCGCCAUGUGGGGGGUUGGAAAGUUUCGGCGGUGGGGGAUGGACUCGCGGCUUACGAGCUGGUUGGUGGGGUAGGGGCUUUCCAAGGCUUUGACGGGUAGCCGGCCUGAGAGGGGGACCGGCCUCAUUGGGACUGAGAUACGGCCCAGACUCCUACGGGAGGCAGCGGUGGGGAAUAUUGCACAAUGGGCGGAAGCCUGAUGCAGCAGCGCCGCGUGCGGGAUGACGGCCUUCGGGUUGUAAACCGCUUUCGCCUGUGACGAAGCGUGAGUGACGGUAAUGGGUAAAGAAGCACCGGCUAACUACGUG